UUUUCAGGUCUCUACUCACCGUGUCAGUUACUUGAUCAUUGUGGAAACCCAAAUCAGAAUAAAACUAGUGGUCUUGAGCUGUGCUGGUGAGGGGCCAUCUCCCACAGUGAAUUCUAAAAGAGUGGAAGACAAAAGAAUUGCAUUUCAGUUCUCAUGACCUUGUUGUGUUGAUAAAUGUCUGAAGCUUGAGAAGUAAGGCCUUCAGUUUUCCUUGAUGGUUCAAGCAAGGCUGACAAUACCUAUUCCUCUCUGUCAGAUAUUUCAUAGGCUGCUAGUACUACAAGAAGCUUGUCUUCAGCCAAUAAUACUACAGGGGGACCCUUCAUUUCAAGCUCUUCUGGGUUUAGAUUUCUCCUCGAAAUACAAAUAGAUUUAUGUCCUUUGGUAAUAUGUACAUAGCUGGAAUGCACAUCAUCUCCACUGACAAUACCUACUAUAAAUUUGUCUCAGAUAUUUGGAAAAUAACAACCAAUUUAUUAGUUACAUUUCAAUGAGAUAUAAAUCAACCUAUGCAUCUUGCUUAUCUUGCACUUACAUAUUCUGAAAUAGUUUUAUGUAAAGUGAUAUGGUUUAGAAGUAUAUAUCACCAGUCAAAGUAGAAUUGAAUUUCUAUCACAUUUCCUACCAAUGUUGAUAGAGGGAGAAGAGGGAGGGAGAAGGGAGGGCUGCUUCAUUAUUUUUCUCUUGGUAAUUUAAUCAUUCUAUGUAACCCACAGUACUGUAAUAUUUUUGGUUGUUUUGCACUGCCUACACCUUCAGUGAUACCGUGUGUUCAUAGUAGAGGCCCCACAUGAGAUUGAGAUCACAUUCUAUUUUGCAAACAUGCAAUGAGGGAGAAAGCAUCCACCCUAUUAGAACCAUUGCAAUUUAAAUAGAUAAUGUGAGGUACUGAUAUUACUGUAACGUCUGUGGAAUGAAAAAAACUUCAGAAGUGUAGACUCAUCACUACUUAUACACACUUUAAGCCAAGCAGCUAACUAAGUUUGGGGUACAGUAGCUCGUUCCAUUUGUGAAAAGCAAUUGGUAACUGAGUCAGGUGUCUUUGAUACAGAUCUUUUUAUUAAAGAAUGUAUAAAUCCUGCUUUCUUAGCACAGUAAGAAACAAACAUAUGGAGACAGUUUCCCAAGCCACAGCUCCAAACCUCUUUCAGUUAGCACCUCAGCCCAAGAGCCCACUCUUUCUACCAGGGCCACACAGUGGUGUUUUUCAGGCUCUGUUGAAGAUUCCUUCUCUGUCUGCUUCAGAGUAUCUCUCAUCUACUCACAUGCAGCUCUUCUCAAUACAAUACCCAAACUAACACUCUUCCUGUGCCAUCUCGCACUUGCCUUUGUGUUGGAUAGGCAUGUGCCUCUUAUAGCUGUGUUAAAAUACUGACAAGGGUUAAACCAAGAAAUUUCAAGAUGGGUUUAGCAUAAUUAUAUUAAUAAAUCUAAUCCAUAAUGAUUACCAGUUGAUAAAUAGGCUGCGCUGGAGGAAACUGACAUUGAGAAAUAAGGGAAAAUUGCAUUGUUAAAAAUAAAAAAUUUCCCCUUUCAUUCUUAAACGAGAGUUUGCAUUGAUUAGAUAAUGCCAAUUAAAAAUGCUGUUGCUGCUAGCUGAGUUAUGAACAAUGUCUGCAGAGUGCACUGCUCAUUUCAUAGUUCCUCCUCUCACGAUCCCAACGCACCAAAAACUCAUAAAUCCCUUUCACUGUAGAAUUUUGUGCUGGAUUAUAUUUUCUAAUGUUUUCCCCAGUCUGCUUUUGAGUGUCUUAAGCAAUGGGGACUGUCGUCAUUUCCCUUGGGAGGCAACUCCACAGUCUAAUAUAUCUCCCAGUCAGAAAGAUUUUUCCUGGUAUUAAACUUCUCUUUCUUAA